UGGGGAAUUUUGGACAAUGGGCGCAAGCCUGAUCCAGCAAUGCCGCGUGAGUGAAGAAGGCCUUCGGGUUGUAAAGCUCUUUUGUCAGGGAAGAAAUAGCCUGGGUUAAUACCCUGGGUUGAUGACGGUACCUGAAGAAUAAGCACCGGCUAACUACGUGCCAGCAGCCGCGGUAAUACGUAGGGUGCGAGCGUUAAUCGGAAUUACUGGGCGUAAAGCGUGCGCAGGCGGUUUAGUAAGACAGAGGUGAAAUGCCCGGGCUUAACCUGGGAACUGCCUUUGUGACUGCUAGGCUAGAGUGUGUCAGAGGGGGGUAGAAUUCCACGUGUAGCAGUGAAAUGCGUAGAUAUGUGGAGGAAUACCGAUGGCGAAGGCAGCCCCCUGGGAUAACACUGACGCUCAUGCACGAAAGCGUGGGGAGCAAACAGG
rnacentral:rRNA from 2 species